CCACGGGAGGCUCCAGUGAGGAAUAUUGCACAAUGGGGGGAACCCUGAUGCAGCAACGCCGCGUGGAGGAUGACGCAUUUCGGUGUGUAAACUCCUUUUAUAUGUCAAGAAAAUGACGGUAGCAUAUGAAUAAGCACCGGCUAACUGCCGUGCCAGCAGCCGCGGUAAUACGGAGGGUGCAAGCGUUACUCGGAAUCACUGGGAGUAGAGGACGCGUAGGCGGGUUGGAAAGUCAGGUGUGAAAUCCUACAGCUUAACUGUAGAACUGCACUUGAAACUUCUAAUCUAGAGUAUGGGAGGGGGAGAUGGAAUUAGUGGUGUAGGGGUAAAAUCCGUAGAUAUCACUAGGGAUACCUAAAGCGAAGGCGAUCUCCUGGAACAUUACUGACGCUAAGGCGUGAAAGCGUGGGGAGCAAACAGGAUUAGAUACCCGAGUAGUC
rnacentral:rRNA from 1 species